UACGGAGGGAGCUAGCGUUAUUCGGAAUUACUGGGCGUAAAGCGCACGUAGGCGGCUUUGUAAGUAAGAGGUGAAAGCCCAGAGCUCAACUCUGGAAUUGCCUUUUAGACUGCAUCGCUUGAAUCAUGGAGAGGUCAGUGGAAUUCCGAGUGUAGAGGUGAAAUUCGUAGAUAUUCGGAAGAACACCAGUGGCGAAGGCGGUUGCCUGGAGCUUUGCUGACGCUGAGGCGCGAAAGCGUGGGGAGCGAUCCGG
rnacentral:rRNA from 1 species